rnacentral:lncRNA from 1 species
UCAUUGCCCUCAUGAUGAUCCUAUGAUCAGAAGCCUUUAAGAAUUAAAUACAUGCCUCUAAUUCUCAAUAUUUUGAGAAUAUGUAUCAAAACUAAUUUCAUGGAUGAUUUAAAGACACAUUACACUUGAAUGAAAAAAAACUUGCCCCUUUUAUUGAUCAUAUCAAUAUAUUAAGUAUAAAAUUAUACCCUAGAUAUAUUAC